ensembl:lncRNA
GGGGCCCGCCUUGAACACCCUGCAUACGGGCCCGUCGUUGCCUUGUUACGCCAAUGACUGGGUGGCUCUACUCUCCACAGUUGAACCAACCGGACUGGUCUAGGCUCAUCACUGGGUGGCUCUACUCUCCACAGCUGAACCAACCGGACUGGUCUAGGCCCAUCACUGGGAGGCUCUACUCUCCACAGCUGAACCAACCGGGCUGGUCUAGGUUCAUCACUGGGAGGCUCUACUCUCCACAACUGAACCAACCAGGCUGGUCUAGGUUCAUCACUGGGAGGCUCUACUCUCCACAACUGAACCAACCAGGCUGGUCUAGGUUCAUCACUGGGAGGCUCUACUCUCCACAGCUGAACCAACCGGGCUGGUCUAGGUUCAUCACUGGGAGGCUCUACUCUCCACAGCUGAACCAACCGGACUGGUCUAGGCUCAGCUGGGUGGGCUCUACUCUCCACAGCUGAACAUGUCCGGACUGGUCUAGGCUCAGCUGGGUGGGCUCUACUCUCCACAGCUGAACCAACCGGGCUGGUGGAGGUUCAUCACUGGGAGGCUCUACUCUCCACAGCUGAACCAACCGGGCUGGUGUAGGUUCAUCACUGGGAGGCUCUACUCUCCACAGCUGAACACUUCUGGACUGGUCUAGGCUCAUCGCUGGGUGGGCUCUACUCUCCACAGCUGAACACGUCCGGACUGCUCUAGGUUCAUCACUGGGUGGCGUUGGCACUGAAAGUAAAAAACGAGUCAUUCAAACCGUUUGGUAUAAAAGGUCAAAUCUGGUUCUCGUGCAGAAUUUCACGUAAAUCGACCAGCGGAAAAAUACUUGAAUGGUAACAGUAUUGAGAUGACAGCCCGUCCGGUACACUCAGACCCAGGCCAGUGUCUCCAUGCUAAAGCUAGUUAGCUGGGGGUCAGAGGGCUAAACAGCUAACGGCUCAGAGGGGGUCAGUCCUAAUGGGGGGCGACCACACAGCUACACACCGGAGUCCGUCUCCACGCGGAAGGUAUCGACACAAAGAAAGACAGACGUACAGAUCAGAAAGACACAGAUCAUACUGUAAAUUUAGUAGACAAACUUAUAGAACAUAGAUUUUAACCUCUUGAAAUAUACUCUCAUAUAUAUAUUUAGAUAUGCACUUCUUUUUUCAGAUGAAAUAAAUAUAUCCACAGAUGCAGUUAAUCGUUUUUUUUUUCUUAAAAAUAGACCAGCUUUACAAUUGCAGACACACAUGGACAAAGGGAGGACAGGAGGAGAGAAUGGAGAAGGGGAAGAAGAACUAGUCGGCUCAUUAGAAUCUAAAAAGAUAGCUUAGAGUUCCCUCUGCUAGCCGGCGCUGUGCUACGCUUCUGUCCAAUCGCGGCUUGAGUCAAUGAUUUCAGGCGGGAAGUAUUAGAUUGAGUCCAACUGACGCCUGCGGCGGACAUGUUGGAAAAUAACCAAAAGAUCCACCAAAGCGAUCUAAGAUUGCAGGUCUUCCAAGAACAGUCCUACCGAUCAUCCUUUGUGGUAUGAAAUUAAAGUCUGCUCUUCACCUGACUUCUGGUAGCAAAUGGUAAAGCGUUAAUGAUCCUGGUUAACAUACAGAUAUAUGCUUACAAUUUAUUUUAAAAGUUUGAAGAAUAAAUGAUCAAAUUGAGCAUUUGGGUUUUUAACAGAUAAGCACAGCUAUGUUACUGAAACCAGAAAGAAUAUAACCGUAGAUAUCAAAAGCGAAAACAAUUUUCUAUAAUACUACCCAACUCCACAAAUAUAUAUUAUGAGAUAUAGCUAGAUUUCUUUUUUUAAAUAAAGACAAACUUUACACAUCAAAUUCCUGUUUUGAAUUUCAACUUUCAUUCUUUUUCCUGCGUUCUUUGACUGAAGUAAGUUAUGGCUCGGACGCAGCUCAGGGUAAAGCAGGAGCUGAUUAACGAUAAUCAAUAAUAAUAAUCAUUCAACUUGUUCUGGGGGCAGCGGUCAGCGCUGGUGCGAUGCUAACGCGACGCCGCGGUGUCAUAAUGCUCACGCUGGCCCCUCGGCACGGGAUGAGGACUAAGAUUACUUUAGUUCUCGCUAAUGUCUUGACAUCAGAGUGUAGCGGCUGGUUGCAGCUCAAAUGUGACUCGAGGAUGGAAUAAAAAAAUAUUCUGCUGCGCUGUUUUUUUCGGAGCUGCUACUCUAUUCUUCCAACUUGGUUUUGACCACAUUUUCACUAGUUUACCUUUUAUUUUUCAUCACACGUGACCGUUGCGCACAACGUUAUCCGACAUCUUCCCAACAACUAGAAACUUUUUUCACUGAAGCAUGAAGCCAACAAACGCCAGGAGACUGAAGAACACACGAUACGAUUCCCUGCGCAAAUAAGAGUCAUCUUAUCUGGACACAAAAAACAAACAACAAUUUAGCACCAUCUAAUAUUCAAACGUAUUUCACCUCCAGGCAUCUCUAGCACUUCUCGUCUCUGAGGAUUCAUUCAAUGCACAGCGUGUUUGAUUCAGACCCUCCAUUAGCAUCAACUGGCUCAGGUAAACAGAGAGAGGAAAAUAAAGUCAUUUUAAACAAGAUGGCCGCCUGCCGAGGUGUGAUGGCAGAGCAGCAGAUCCCUCGCUGUGCGCCCUGGCCAACGCUCGCGGCUAACGCUCGCGGCUAACGCUCGCGGCUAGCUGGACGUGGCGCCGGCAGGGUUGGGUAGGGAGGGGCCGCUGAGUGGUGGCUUCCCCAAGGGGGGUUGAGAGGGUUUCAUGAACCUCAUGGCACAGUGCUUUACAUCUUAUUAGGCUUUGAUACAUUUGUCUUGAUACACCAAACACCACCGAUUACAGCCACAACUAGACAGAGGUCAAAUAAUGCUUUCAAACAACAGAAACUACCAACGUGAAAUGAGAGACCAACGUAUUGCUCGAGAGAAAAGGUUUUUCCAGCGGACACAUCGAGGCGUUUGUAUAAAGUGGACGUUUGUCGUUCUCCGUGUCCGUACGCUCGUCUGUUGUCCACGUGUGCGUGUGCUUGCAAGAAUGUCAAAUGGAAAAGGCUUCCAUGGGAUUAGAACACAGUAGCUAACAUCACAGAUUAACGUGUUUGAGUUUGGCACGCAGCUCGUCAUUAAGCUAGCUGAAUAUCAGUCACAGUGGACUUACCCUGUUGUCGAGGAAACACAGCGCUGAAAACACAACGAGGAGGCACAGCGAGGGGAGGAGGAGGAGGAGGGGGAGGAGGAGG